CAGGAGGGAUAGAUAGAUUGGGGAUGAAUGAGGUAAGUAAUAGGAAAACGAAUAGGUAAGAUUGUUUCUUACCUGUAUCUACCCACAUAUUGGGUCUUACAAGGUCAAGAAAAAGGUGUUACCUAUUAUAAGAUCAAGAAGAAAAUAGUAAUGGCUCAGAUGGGAUAGCGACUUUUUACAUCUAUGCCUGCAUGAUUAUUCUGGUUGAAUCUUUGCUGUUACUAUUCCUUGCUGUCUUAGGUAGAAUCAUGGUGAGAUUGAGAUCCAUCAAGACCUGAAGAAAAAAAAUGAAUCACAAAUGUGAUAUAUGUAGAUCUAGGUAGAACAAUAUUAUAUAUAAACUUAGAGAGAUAGAGAGAGAGAAGAAGCAAAACCUUGCUGAUGGAUGAGUUAGAUCUUCAGUCCUCACUUUGUUCUUGAGAUCGAGGAUGGCUGGUUUCACUUGGCGUGAUGGUUUCUUCCAACAAUGGUAGAUAAAUAGAACUUAAUUAUAAUAAGAAGUUAGUAGUGGAUGCUAUACUGGCUGCCUAUAUUCUAAAGCUAUAUAGUAGUCCAGGUGAGACUACUAGGGUUUGGGUUAGGGCUUGAUAAUAUAAAAUAGUUAUAAAUGGGAAUUGUGCAUUGACAAAACCAAGUGAAAUUAAUGCACUAAAAAUCCAGUAAUUUUGUUUUG
rnacentral:lncRNA from 1 species